GACGAACGCUGGCGGCGUGCCUAAUACAUGCAAGUAGAACGCUGAAGGAGGAGCUUGCUUCUCUGGAUGAGUUGCGAACGGGUGAGUAACGCGUAGGUAACCUGCCUGGUAGCGGGGGAUAACUAUUGGAAACGAUAGCUAAUACCGCAUAAGAGUAGAUGUUGCAUGAUAUUUGCUUAAAAGGUGCAAUUGCAUCACUACCAGAUGGACCUGCGUUGUAUUAGCUAGUUGGUGAGGUAACGGCUCACCAAGGCAACGAUACAUAGCCGACCUGAGAGGGUGAUCGGCCACACUGGGACUGAGACACGGCCCAGACUCCUACGGGAGGCAGCAGUAGGGAAUCUUCGGCAAUGGACGGAAGUCUGACCGAGCAACGCCGCGUGAGUGAAGAAGGUUUUCGGAUCGUAAAGCUCUGUUGUAAGAGAAGAACGAGUGUGAGAGUGGAAAGUUCACACUGUGACGGUAUCUUACCAGAAAGGGACGGCUAACUACGUG
rnacentral:rRNA from 1 species